rnacentral:rRNA from 1 species
GACGAACGCUGGCGGCGUGCUUAACACAUGCAAGUCGAACGGAAAGGCCCUGCUUUUGUGGGGUGCUCGAGUGGCGCACGGGUGUGUAACACGUGAGUAACCUGCUCUUGACUUUGGUAUAACUUCAGGAAACUGGGGCUAAUACCGGAUAGGAGCUCCUGCUGCAUGUUGGGGGUUGGAAAUUUUCGGCGGGUGGGGAUGGACUCGCGGCUUAUCAGCUUGUUGGUGGGGUAGUGGCUUACCAAGGCUUUGACGGGUAGCCGGCCUGGGAGGGUGACCGGCCACAUUGGGCCUAGGGAAGGGCCAAGCUCCCAACGGGGGGCAGAAGUGGGGAAUAUUGCACAAUGGGCGGAAGCCUGAGGCGGCAACCCCGGGGGCGGGAUACCGGCCUUCGGGUGGUAAACCGCUUUCGCCUGUGACGAAGCGUGAGUGACGGUAAUGGGUAAAGAAGCACCGGCUAACUACGUG